rnacentral:lncRNA from 1 species
CGGUUCCUCCUCGGGCGGGCUCUCCUCCAAGUUGAUUCCUCCCAUAUCGGGAUGAUAAUCGGAGGAGAGAUCAGGGCACCAAUUUGGAUCGUAGAAAGGGUUGUGUGGAUCCAUGACGGAGAAAAUUGUAGGAGAAGAACAGGUGUGAAGAGAAGAAGGAAGAAGGAUGAAGGAAGAAGGAGAAGAGGUGUGGAGAAGAGAAGAAGAAGAUGGGUGUUUUAAAGAAGAGAAGAAGGGAAAAUUAAAAAAAAAAAAAAAAAAAAAUCCGUCGGUCAAAGGUGCGGAGACCGAGGAGCUGCAGUCAAAAAGUGUAUAUAAAUUCGAAUUUUCGAUUUUUUCAUUUUUUUUUUAAAUUGGG